GAGAUUCUUGUGCAGUGGAACCUC
rnacentral:siRNA from 1 species